UUAAAAAGCAAAGUAUGCUCCACAGGCCCAUGCUGGAGGUAGUGGUAAACCAUCGAUAUGACCCUCCUGAAGUUACUCUCCUUUUUAAAGAAACCGAGAUUGAAGAACUUGGACUGUAGUCCACAGGCUCCUCUGUCCAUGGAAUUUUCCAGGCAAGAAUACUGGAAUGGGUGGAGAUUCCCGUCUCCAGGGGAUCUUCCUGACCCAGGGAUCAAACCUGGGUCUUCUGCGUUGCAGGCAGAUUCUUUACUGUCUGAGCCACCAGAGGAGGAGGCAAAGCAGGUUGAGAUGGACAUCUCUGGCAGCCUCUUCCCAUCCCCGGGCAGGUUUUCUCGUCUGAGCAGCUACUGCAGCAGGUCCUGGAGACAGACUCCAGGGCUGAGACCACGGGGACUGGGCAAGGUUGAGGGUGAAUUUUGCCCUGUGAGGAGGGCCCCUCCCACGGAGUCCAGGCCUAGGCCAUGGCUAAGGGGCACCUCAAGAAACUGUGAGGUCCUGAUUUAGAUAUGCAGCUGACACCACCAUUAUGGCAGAAAGUGAAGAAGAACUAAAGAGCCUGUUGAUGAAAGUGAAAGAGGAGAGUGAAAAAGUUGGCUUAAAGCUCAGCAUUCAGAAAACUAAGAUCAUGGCAUCUGGUCCCAUCACUUCAUGGCAAAUAGAUGGGGAAACAGUGGAAACAGUGGCUGACUUUAUUUUCUGGGCUCCAAAAUCAGUGCGGAUGGUGAUUGCAGCCAUGAAAUUAAAAAACACUUGCUCCUCGGAAGGAAAGCUAUGACCAACCUAGACAGCAUAUCAAAAAGCAGAGAUAUUACUUUGCCAACAAAGGUCCGUCUAGUCAAGGCUACAGUUUUUCCAGUGGUCAUGUAUGGAUGUGAGAGUUGGACUGUGAAGAAAGCUGAGCACUGAAAAAUUGAUGCUUUUGAACUGUGGUGUUGAAGAAGACUCUUGAGAGUCCCUUGCACUGCAAGGAGAUCCAACCAGUCCAUUCUAAAGGAGAUAAGUCCUGAGUGUUCAUUGGAAUGUCUGAUGUUGAAGCUGAAACUCCAAUACUUUGGCCACCUGAUGCAAAGAGUUGACUCAUUGGAAAAGACCCUGAUGCUGGGAAAGAUUGAAGGCAGGCAGAGAAGGGGACGACAGAGGAUGAGAUGGUUGGAUGGCAUCAUCAACACAAUGGACAUGGGUUUGGGUAGACUCCAGGAGUUGGUGAUGGACAGGGAGGCCUGGCAUGCUGUGGUUCAUGGGGUCACAAAGAGUCAGACACAACUGAGCGACUGAACUGAACUGAACUGAAUAUGUGCCAGACACUGAGCUGGGGUGAAGUAGCCACAGGGAACCAGACAAGGAGCUUGGGUCUAGCUCUGAAGAUUGAUCAUGAACAAGCAGUUAUACCAACCUGUGAUGAGUAUUAUGACGGGGAAACAAGGUGACGAAAAAUGAAUUUAUGUUAAUUAGAGUUAGGUGCUGCUGUAUAUAACAGACAACUAAAAUAACUAUCGCCUAAAUGAAAUACAUGUUUAUCUCUUUCCCACAUAAUAGACAGCCAAGGCUGGAAUGGCAGAUCCACAUGUCAUCAAAAGCAGGGGCUAUUAUAAUUUUGUUCCACCAUGCUAGCUUCCAUCUUCAAUGUUACCUCAUGAUCCAAGUUGGCUGCUGGAGCUCCAACAAUUGUUUCUGAGUUGAGGGCUGUAAAAAAAAAAAAAA